UAGUGCUCAUGUACUGAUGAUGUACGUACUAGUUUGAUUUCCUUUUGUUCUACAGGAUGUUGAUUGUUGUUGAUGAUGUACAUAGAUGAUGAUGAUGAAAGCUUGAAAAAGGGAUGGAAAGCACAUGAAGACUUGUUGCACCCAACAAAUUCUAUUUCCCCUUUCUUUUUAUUUUGUUUUUAUAAUAUUCAUUAUGAGAUGAAUAAGACAAACUCUUUAUUAUAACAUUUUGUUUUAUUUGGGAUAUACCAUGUAAAUAAUAAAGAUUAUCUCUUUUUUUCUAUUUUUGUACUUUGUGG
rnacentral:lncRNA from 1 species